UUUCAAUUCAGAAGUCGGUCGUCAGUCUGGUGGCUCAAACUUCUGGUUCAUUAAACUUCGCAGUAUCUCUGACAAAAAAGAAAAUUGUGCACGUAAAGCAGAUCGAGGCGAGCGAAGUAAUUAAAGAUAAAGAAGUUCCGUUCUUGACAAAACACGGUAAUCGAUCAUGGCGAAUUGUAAACUUACAGUCUUUAUUGCCGCGAUUUUCAUCAUACAUUUUGUGUCCUCCAAGUCAUCUCAGUGUGUGACUGACUGUACCAGCGUAUCAAAACAAUGUCUGGACGACUGUGAUGAUCAACUGUGCGCUAAUAAUUGUACUGAGACAAGGGAAAACUGUUACAAAGAGUGUAACACACUUAGAAGAGAAUUUUUCUCUCGUUUUUUCGACGAUCGUUUCAACCCUAAAGAUGAUGUUAAAGACAACGA
rnacentral:lncRNA from 1 species